UACGGGGGGGGCAAGCGUUGUUCGGAAUUACUGGCGUAAAGGGUGCGUAGGCGGCUUUCUAAGUUGGAUGUGAAACUCUGGGCUCAACCCAGAGACUGCGAUCCAAACUGGAGAGCUUGGGUUCUGGAGGGGAAAGGCGGAAUUCCUGGUGUAGCGGUGAAAUGCGUAGAUAUCGGGAGGAAUACCGGUGGCGAAGGCGGAUCUCUGGGCCCAUUACUGACGCUGACGGAGCGAAAGCGUGGGGAGCGAACAGG
rnacentral:rRNA from 1 species